GACGAACGCUGGCGGCGUGCUUAACACAUGCAAGUCGAACGGUAAGGCCCUUCGGGGUACACGAGUGGCGAACGGGUGAGUAACACGUGGGUGAUCUGCCCUGCACUUCGGGAUAAGCCUGGGAAACUGGGUCUAAUACCGGAUAGGACCACUGCCUGCAUGGGUGGUGGUGGAAAGCUUUUGCGGUGUGGGAUGGGCCCGCGGCCUAUCAGCUUGUUGGUGGGGUGAUGGCCUACCAAGGCGACGACGGGUAGCCGGCCUGAGAGGGUGACCGGCCACACUGGGACUGAGGUACGGCCCAGACUCCUACGGGAGGCAGCAGUGGGGAAUAUUGCACAAUGGGCGCAAGCCUGAUGCAGCGACGCCGCGUGGGGGAUGACGGCCUUCGGGUUGUAAAUCUCUUUCAGCACCGACGAAGCGCAAGUGACGGUAGGUGCAGAAGAAGGACCGGCCAACUACGUGCCAGCCGCCGCAGUAA
rnacentral:rRNA from 1 species